UGGGGAAUUUUGCACAAUGGGGGAAACCCUGAUGCAGCGACGCCGCGUGUACGAUGAAGAUCUUCGGAUUGUAAAGUACUGUCCUUGGUGAAGAUAAUGACUGUAACCAAGAAGCAAGCCCUGGCUAAAUACGUGCCAGCAGCCGCGGUAAUACGUAUGGGGCAAGCGUUGUCCGGAAUUAUUGGGCGUAAAGGGUACGUAGGCGGUUAUUUAAGUCUAAAUUAAAAGGCAUUGGCUCAACCAAUGUAAGGUUUAGAUACUGGAUAACUUGAGUAGAUGAGGGGAAAGUGGAAUUCCAUGUGUAGCGGUGAAAGGCGUAGAUAUAUGGAGGAACACCAAUGGCGAAGGCAACUUUCUGGAAUCAAACUGACGCUGAGGUACGAAGGCGUGGGGAGCAAACAGG
rnacentral:rRNA from 1 species